GUUUUAAGUUUAAAUCGGGGAGGCCCCGAGUCACAUUCAAAUAGACAUCAGAGUUGGUGUAAACGGGACGACGGCCGUUACAGCACGCCAUCCCAAAGGUUCACAGGUGUUUGGGUUUGGAAGAGGACGCAAGCCAGACCGCAGCACGGCGUCGCCACCGGUGCAGGUCUUAGCACGCGCCCCCGUGAGUUUCAAUAAUGAUCCUUCCGCAGGUUCACCUACGGAAA
rnacentral:misc_RNA from 1 species